CGUCGAAGAUUAUCGAUUGAUCGAUCGACUGGUAGAUUUUACAUUGCUAAUUAAGCUUUUUUGGUUGCAUUCCAAGUCCAUAAAGCUCAGUCAGCAAUGCAUGAUGUACUAGAAAUCCCUUUAUCCUUGAAAGGGUGAGGCAACUUCUUGGAAUACUGAGUGAGUUUAUCAUGCUGAGUUUUUGUUCACUUAGGUAAACAAAACUGGUUCAUUUCUUUGCAAUUUUUACCUGCUUUAAAAUUAUUGGAAUUUGUACUUGUUUCGUUAAGCUAAUAACGGCGGUAGGUACCUUCUCCGCUUUGGUUUUUAUUCUGAUUUGUUGCAGAGCACCAGUUUUAAUUCGAUCGAUCACAUCCGGACGUUUCCUGAUCACUUUUUUGAAAAUUUGAAAAACUGUUUUAGCAAGAAGACUCGAGUGAAGUGGUAAAACGGCAUUUUGUAAAAUUUAUUUGCUCGAGCCGAGUUGAUGUGGCAAAAUCUCUUCGUAACUAUAAGGGGUCCGGUACUAUCCCCGCUUGUCCUGUGUACGAUACAAUUGGUAAAGAACACCUGAAUCGAUCAACAACAACUGGCAACUUCGAUUUAUUUACCGUUCUAUCGAUUUAUGUAUUGUAAAUAUUUGUUAUGUCGCAACAUUACUAUUUUUUAAUAAAUGUAAUUUUUUGAA